rfam:Triticum aestivum genome assembly, contig: Triticum_aestivum_CS42_TGACv1_scaffold_093350_2AL
GAAGUACUCUCUCCGUUCCAGAUUACUCGUCGUAGAAAUGGAUGUAUCUAAAACUAAAAUACAUCUAGAUAUAUCCAUACCUGCGACAAGUAAUUCAGAACGGAGGGAGUAGUUA